UACGGAGGGUGCAAGCGUUAUCCGGAUUCACUGGGUUUAAAGGGUGCGUAGGUGGGCAAGUAAGUCAGUGGUGAAAUCUCCGGGCUUAACCCGGAAACUGCCAUUGAUACUAUUUGUCUUGAAUACUGUGGAGGUCAGCGGAAUAUGUCAUGUAGCGGUGAAAUGCUUAGAUAUGACAUAGAACACCAAUUGCGAAGGCAGCAGGCUAAACGAAUAUUGACGCUGAGGCACGAAAGCGUGGGGAUCAAACAGG
rnacentral:rRNA from 1 species